rnacentral:rRNA from 1 species
UACAGAGGUCCCAAGCGUUUGUUCGGAUUCACUGGGCGUAAAGGGUGCGUAGGUGGUGAGGUAAGUCGGAUGUGAAAUCUCCGAGCUCAACUCGGAAACUGCAUUGGAAACUACCUUGCUCGAGGGUUGGAGGGGGGGACUGGAAUGCUUGGUGUAGCAGUGAAAUGCGUAGAUAUCAAGCGGAACACCAGUGGCGAAGGCGAGUCCCUGGACAACUCCUGACACUGAUGCACGAAAGCUAGGGGAGCAAACAGG